UAAUGCAUGGAGAUGUGUAAUUUUCACAUUCAAUUUGUUUAACCUUAAACCCCCCAUCACGUCUCCUAACCCCUAAGUACUUCACAUAGGAUAGAUAUAUAUCGUACAAGUCACUUAUGGCUCCAAAUAUGAUAAGGAAAAAGUCAAAUUUUGCUGCAUGAAGCCACCUCCUGCUUAACACAUGUCAUGCUUGUUAAUGUGGCUGCAUGCAACAUUUUCUUAAAUCCUUAAAGCAAGAGUCACAACCCCAACCCUUCAAGAUUCUUUAUAUACUCUUAUUAAGUUAUUUAGCCUUUCAAGUUAUCCCCAAGUGACUCCAAGUGGAAGAGAAAACAAAGGAAACAGGAAAAACUAGAAACACUCAAACAAGAAGUUGGAAACUGAAUUUCUAGAUAGGUAAGUUUAGGUCACGGUUUUGAAGGUUAUUUUCAUUGUUUUUGAAGGUGUUACAAUCUCUUAAGCCUUUGAAAUUACUUGGUAUAUGUUGGGGAUGUUAUUAUGGCAAAAAGAGAGAAAAUUGGUGGAGAUAUAUUGAGUGAAACAACUGAGGACAGAAAUUGUAUUGUUGCUAGAUUCUGCCUAUUCAACCUUUGAUUUUGGAUAAUAACUUGAGUAUAACUUGUAUAUAUUAAUAUAAAUAUUUUAUACAUGAGUUACAAGCAUAUAAAUGAUCUUUAAUAGGCUAGAAUAUGAGUUGUGGUAUGUUAAUCCAGGUGAAAGUCAAAACAUCCAUACUAAAAUUCUUGAUUCGGUGUUCAGUAAAAAGGAUUGAUUUUCGGGCUGUAAAUCGAUUAUUUGUGAUGAAUUAAUAAAUAUUUACCUGCACAUAUAUGUUAUAUAAGCUUGGUAAAAGUUUAUGAAGGAAUGAAUGUGAUAAAGGGUGUUAAAAGAUGAAUGAAACAGGAUAUACCACCUACUAAAACUUAAAAACAGAUUCUGUCCAAUUUGGUAGUUUGCAUAGUUUUAGCCUUUACGUAUUCACUAAUCAUCUCUAAGGCUUGGAAAACUAAUUUUAAUUAGUGUUAGGUUGUUAGAGACAAUUUGAGUUCGUUGACAUUCAUGAUUAGACUAGGAAAAUAAUGAAAUUUAUGGAUUGUUUUGAGGUACAAUUGGUAACUCGAAGUAAUAACACUAUCUGAUUUAUUUUGGCAUUGAUGUUCAUAGUAAGGAGUCAUGUGUGUGUUAGGGUUAUCGAAUUGAGGAUCGUGUUUAAUAUCAUAUGGCAAUACAUGUUGUUUUCCGACGGUAGGUGAAAAAGUAACUUGACCUACACCUAGUAGAAAGAUCACACACAAAGGGAAAAAGGUAAGUGAAAAUUCAUUUACAACUACGAUGGAAGAACAUAGUAUUUGUGAAAUAUUCUCUAUAUAGGUAUUGUUGUAACAAUUAUAUGAACUUGAUAAGGAGAUCAUGGAAUACCAUAUGAUGACUAUGAUUAAGCAUGCCGUUCAUGAGCAUUUGCACGUGUAUGCAUGACAUAUGUCCAUUGUUAAAAAUCUUGAAUGCACGACAUAAUUAGAAAAAUGAAUUUGCAUUAUAAAAUAUUUUAUUGACCAUUACUAGGGUAACGAGGCAUAUGAGAUAUGCUUAUAUGAUAUGUUUUGGCAUCUCGAGUGAGACUUUCCUAGUGAUCAUAGGGGUAGAUAGGGAAUGUGCCUUUGGUGAUUACAGGCUAUGAUGGUCGGACUCGAGUGCGGGUGUCGGAUAGGGUACAUAUCUAGGAGUCAAAUUCUUCUCAUUUUAAAAAUUAAGAUAUGGGGACACGUUUAAAAAGGAUCCAAAUUUUGAACACAGGUACGGGGAUACGUCUUAUAAAUUUUUCCUUAAAAAAUGAUUCAAUUAAAGUAAACAACCACAAUAUUAAAGCAAAAUAGCAAAAUUACCACAAUACAAAUGUUUCAUUUAAUAAUAUCCAAAUUUGAACAAAACACAAUCGAAAAUAAAGCUAAACAUCUAAAAUGUCAUAACAUAAAAAGUAAAAAGUUUUCUACUUGAAAUAAAACUAAACAAGCAUUCCCGAUCAAGCUUUACUCCUCUUCUUCAUCAAACGUAAUUGCCUCCAAUUAUGGCUCAUCAAGGGAUAGUUCCGCCAUCUCAAUGAUACCUUUUCCAUCUAAUUCAAUUUGAUCUCCACCUACAAAAUAUAUAGAUAUAUGAAUAUUAAUGUGAAAAAAUUAGAUAUCUGAAAAAAACAAAGAAUAUGAGUAUAUGGUAUACAUACAGAAAUUCCAAUAUUUUGUUGGCCCAUCUUUGUACUCCUCUUUUUUUCGUGACAGGAGUCGAAGAUUACAAUGACUAAAUACCAAGUCUUCCACCCUACUAGUCGCCAGCUUGUUUCUCUUGAUACUCUGGAUGAGUAAAUACGUGCUCCAAUUUCGCUCACAACAAGAAGAGGAUGCCGGUUGCGAGAGCAAUUUAAAUGCUAGAGAUUGCAACAAAGGUAUUGAAGAACCAUGAUUGGCCUACCAAGAGAUUGGCUCUUUGUACAUUCUUGCGUCAAUAACAUGGGGCUGAUUGAAAUACUCCGACCCACUAAAAAAAUAUCCAAAUUCAGUAUAUUUUUUCCUCAAAUCAACCGGAUUUUCAAACAACCUUUGGAAGCAUUUGCUUCUACUCAUUGAAACUUCUUGAUCUUCAUGUGGUACAAUUAUUGGAACACCGUUACUACCAUCUUGAAGCCAAGAUUCAUUAUAAUACUUAGGAACCAAAGAGUGUGCCAUACAAUGCAAAAGAGUGUUACUUUUAUUCCAUCUACUCUCCAAAACUUGGUGAAUAGCAUCAAAAAAAUCUGAUCCAAAAAUUAAAUCUAUCCCUUCGUGCUCAAAUACUAUCUUUUUCACAUUUUCAAUAAUUGUAUCCCACAUAUCAUAUAUUAAAUGUAAAACUGAAGAAUCAGUAUUAGCGACUCAUAACAUAUUAUAAAUAGGCUCGGUGAAAGAUAAAAAAUAAUCCAAAUUAUCUCACUAAACAUCAUUUACUGCACAUGUUUCACUUCUUGUGAUUUGCCUUCGUUACUUCCAUCCCUAUAAAUUAUCCAAUCUGAAUCCAUCACCAUUUUUUCAAAGGCUGGCCUAACUUCUCUUAACCGUUUACUCAUUACAAUAAUAGAUGCAAAUCUUAUAUCAGCCACCCUCAACAAACACAACCUAGAAUAUUUAUUGUAUAUAGCUAAUGCCAUUUUAUGAUUAACAAUAAAAUUACGAAUGUUUUCCACAUCACUCACCAAAUCAGCAAUCCACUUACAAUAUUCAUAUUGUGGUGAUUUUUCAGAUGGAUCACAUAUACUUUUCAAAGCCAAAUUCAGCCUACGUACCACACAAGGAGUCCAAAAGAUAUGAGGAUAUCUUGUUUCAACGCUUAACUAAGCAGCUUCAUAGUUGUUUGCAUUGUCUGUUAUAAUUUGAACAACAUUUGAGCUUCCAAUUUGCUUGAUUGCAUAAAUAAAUGUUGCUGUCACGUAUUCUCCAUCUUUUAUAUUGCCACUUGCAUUAAUUUCUUUAAGAAACAUGGCUCCACCUGUAGAUGCUCCCAUUACAUUUAUAAGAGGUCUUUUUCAUUUAUCCGACCAAGCAUCAGAAACAAUAGGCACUCUCCUUUUCCUCCAUAAAUCACUAAUAGGCUGAAGUUUUCUAUUGGUAUGUUCUUUCUCUUAUGGAAGCAACGUUGUACACAAUCGAUUAUAAGUAGGAGAGGUAUAACCAGCCAAGUUACCGUUGGCCAAAGUUCUACAAAACUAUCUGAAAUAAGAAGAUUUUGCAAAGUUGAACGAUAAUGCACUAGCGAAGAACAUUCUGGGUGCCUCUUUGUCAGUCAUGUCCCUCUGUGCCAUGUUGAAGGUCUUUUCUAGAGGUCCAAGGUCUCCUCUUUUUUUCCUUUUCUGCUGCAGUAAAUCAAAAGCACUCGCACUCAGCUCCUUGAUUUGGAAGAUUUAGCAAAUGAGCCUUCACUUUGGUGUAAGAUCCAACCACCUUUUUGCUGCAAUAGUUGCAACUCCAAGUCUGGUUUCUACCUCUGCUUACUGACGUGGAAGAUGAACUUGACUAGAGAAAUAUGUUGAAGAUGAACUCGUGAUUAAUAUGAAGAAUCCGGAAGUCUGGUGGAAAUAUGUUGAAAAUGAACAGAAAUAUGUUGAAGAUGAACUCAUGAUUUAUAUGAAGAAUCUGGAAGUUUGGUGCAACUAUGUUAAAGAUGAACUCGUGAUUAAUAUGAAGAAUCUGGAAGUCUGGUGCAAAUAUGUUGAAGAUGAACCUCGUGAUUAAUAUUAAGAUGAAGCUACUACGUCAGAUUGCAAUACGAAGCCUUAAUACAAUAGUGAAGAAUCUGGAAGUCUGGUACAAAUUAUGGAAAAGGAAAAAUUGGUAGCUUGAUUUCUGUAUUCCCAAUUUUAAUUGUUAAUUUCGAUUAGUAAUUUAUUCUAUACAUAAUGUUUUGUCUCCCAAUAUUAAUUGUUAAUGGUUGGUUAGUAAUUUAAUAUUCUAUAAUAAA